GGGGUAUUUAUCUUCGGAUAGAGAGACCGGCGCACGGGUGCGUAACGCGUAUGCAAUCUACCUUUUACAGAGGGAUAGCCCAGAGAAAUUUGGAUUAAUACCUCAUAGUAUUACGAAAUGGCAUCAUUUUGUAAUUAAAGUCACAACGGUAAAAGAUGAGCAUGCGUCCCAUUAGCUAGUUGGUAAGGUAACGGCUUACCAAGGCUACGAUGGGUAGGGGUCCUGAGAGGGAGAUCCCCCACACUGGUACUGAGACACGGACCAGACUCCUACGGGAGGCAGCAGUGAGGAAUAUUGGACAAUGGGCGCAGGCCUGAUCCAGCCAUGCCGCGUGCAGGAUGACGGUCCUAUGGAUUGUAAACUGCUUUUAUACGAGAAGAAACACUACUUCGUGAAGUAGCUUGACGGUAUCGUAAGAAUAAGGAUCGGCUAACUCCGUGCCAGCAGCCGCGGUAAUACGGAGGAUCCAAGCGUUAUCCGGAAUCAUUGGGUUUAAAGGGUCCGUAGGCGGUUUAAUAAGUCAGUGGUGAAAGCCCAUCGCUCAACGGUGGAACGGCCAUUGAUACUGUUAAACUUGAAUUAUUAGGAAGUAACUAGAAUAUGUAGUGUAGCGGUGAAAUGCUUAGAGAUUACAUGGAAUACCAAUUGCGAAGGCAGGUUACUACUAAUGGAUUGACGCUGAUGGACGAAA
rnacentral:rRNA from 1 species